AAAAAAAUUAGAGGGAUCCGGGAGGGCUUAUGCUCAAAUACAUUAGCAUGAAAUAAUAGAAUAGGUCGUGUGGUUUUAUUUUGUUGGUUUCUGGGACCGCCGUAAUGAUUAAUAGGGACAGUCGGGGGCAUCAGUAUUCAAUUGUCAGAGGUGAAAUUCUUGGAUCUAUUGAAGACUAACUACUGCGAAAGCAUUUGCCAAGGAUGUUUUCAUUGAUAAGGAACGAAAGUUAGGGGAUCGAAGACGAUCAGAUACCGUCGUAGUCUUAACUAUAAACUAUGCCGACUAGGGAUCGGACGAUGUUAUUCUUUGACG
rnacentral:rRNA from 1 species